AUCGCCAGGUGGACUGCUGAGAAAAGGGCCAGGAAAGGGCUGUUUCUGAACACUGUUCCAUUACAGAAUUACAACCAAGGGCCACACAAUGCUUAACAUCAAGAAUAAUCCUUCAUUUCAUAUGCUGCACCCUUGGAGGAACAUCACCACAGUGGGAAACCAAGACAUAUCAAGAGCAGAAAAAUGUGGAGUCUCUCACAGACACGCAUGAGACUCUCCUUAUGGACAAUGAACACAUAGCCCAAAUG